CUGGUGGUUGCGGUUCAGGUGUGGGAAAUAGUAAUCUGCCUCUCGGUGAAUAGUGAGUUAACAAAUUUGGCAACGCGAUAGCAACUAAGCCAAGUGUUGCUAUUUUCAACCAAGAUAAGUGAAGUGGAAGGUAAAACGUAAUGUCAGAAUUGCCGUUCGGACGUAUCCCUUUCGCCGGCACGGUUGAUUGCCGUUAUGAACCAGCACAAAAAACAAAGCUGCAAAUUAUGCGCCACAUUAGCCGUAUUCGAAUUUUUUUUGGAGAUCUGCACCGAACGACAAGUGAUGGAAAAUCCAGAAUUACGUGCCCCUACUGGCAUAAAAGCUCGAUGGCACCAAAUCAACAGAGUCGUCGCAAAGUUUGCUGGAUGUGUUGCCCAAAUCAUGAAUCGUGGCCAAAGUGGAGCUUCUCCGGAAGAUGCUAUCAAGCAAGCCAUUGCAUUGUUUGCAACAACGGAAAAAAACCCCUUUUACAUUAAUGCAUUGUUACAUCAUUCUUCAAAGCGCUCCAAAAUGGCAACAAUAUCACACCGUAAAGAUAUCAAGUAAUCGGAAAACAUGCGUUGCAGAGAUUGUUGAAUUGGCCCUAGACGAUAUAUACGAAGCAGAUUUUGGCCCUUCACAUUCCAAUCGUCCGAUUGGCCAGAAAGCAUCUAAAGCUCGGAGGAACCAAGAGGUUGGUUCUAACACAGCAACUGAAAUGGUUCAAGCUGGCAAAAUGUUAGCGUAUGCUGCAAAUGAACGUCUUACCUUCAGCAAGUAAAAGGCAGUAGCUUUGACCAGGAUGGCAAAUCAUACCAUAAUGUCCAUGAACCUAGAAGGUUUGAGUACGACUGCAAAGGAGUAUUACGUGCUAGAGCAAAAGCGCAUCUUAAACGAAACCAGAGAAUUUACCAAACAUGAAUUGGAAUCUGAAUCGAUGUCU